GAUGAACGCUGGCGGCGUGCCUAAUACAUGCAAGUCGAGCGAACAGACGAGGAGCUUGCUCCUCUGACGUUAGCGGCGGACGGGUGAGUAACACGUGGAUAACCUACCUAUAAGACUGGGAUAACUUCGGGAAACCGGAGCUAAUACCGGAUAAUAUAUUGAACCGCAUGGUUCAAUAGUGAAAGACGGUUUUGCUGUCACUUAUAGAUGGUUCCGCGCCGCAUUAGCUAGUUGGUAAGGUAACGGCUUACCAAGGCAACGAUGCGUAGCCGACCUGAGAGGGUGAUCGGCCACACUGGAACUGAGACACGGUCCAGACUCCUACGGGAGGCAGCAGUAGGGAAUCUUCCGCAAUGGGCGAAAGCCUGACGGAGCAACGCCGCGUGAGUGAUGAAGGUCUUCGGAUCGUAAAACUCUGUUAUUAGGGAAGAACAAAUGUGUAAGUAACUAUGCACGUCCUGACGGUACCUAAUCAGAAAGCCACGGCUAACUACGUG
rnacentral:rRNA from 1 species